rnacentral:rRNA from 1 species
CGGACGGGUGAGUAACGCGUGAGAAUCUGCCUUCAGGUCGGGGACAACCACUGGAAACCGUGGCUAAUGCCCCAUGUGCGCAACGUGAAAGAUUGAUCGCCUGAAGAGGAGCUCGCGUCUGAUUAGCUAGUUGGUGGGGUAAAAGCUCACCUUGGCGAGCAUCAGUAGCUGGUCUGAGAGGAUGAUCAGCCACACUGGGACUGACACACGGCCCGUACUCCUACGGGAGGCAGCAGUGGGGAAUUUUCCGCAAUGGGCGAAAGCCUGACGGAGCAAGACCGCGUGAGGGAGGAAGGCUCUUGGGUUGUAAACCUCUUUUCUCAUGGAAGAACAGAAUGACUGACCCUGAGGAAUCAACCUCGGCUAACUCCGUGCCAUCCCCCGCGGUAAUACAGAAGAGGCGAGCGUUAUCCUGAAUUGUUGGGCGUAAAGCGUCCGCUCGUGGCGCUUCUAGUCUGUCCUGCAAUACUGGGGCUUAACCCUGGAAAGGCGGUGGAAACUGAAGCGCUAGAGUGUGGUAGGGGUAGGGGGAAUUCCCGGUGUAGCGGUGAAAUGCGUAGAGAUCAUGAAGAACAUCCGUGGCGAAGGCGCUCUACUGGACCACAACUGACACUACGGGACGAGAGCUAGGGGAGCGGAUGGGAUGAGAUACCCCACUACUC